rnacentral:rRNA from 1 species
GACGAACGCUGGCGGCGUGCUUAACACAUGCAAGUCGAGCGGUAAGGCCCUUUUGGGGGUACACGAGCGGCGAACGGGUGAGUAACACGUGGGUGACCUGCCCUCAGCUCUGGGAUAAGCCUGGGAAACUGGGUCUAAUACUGGAUAUGACCUUUCCUCGCAUGGGGUUGGGUGGAAAGUUUUUCGGCUGGGGAUGGGCCCGCGGCCUAUCAGCUUGUUGGUGGGGUGAUGGCCUACCAAGGCGACGACGGGUAGCCGGCCUGAGAGGGCGACCGGCCACACUGGGACUGAGACACGGCCCAGACUCCUACGGGAGGCAGCAGUGGGGAAUAUUGCGCAAUGGGCGGAAGCCUGACGCAGCGACGCCGCGUGGGGAUGAC